rnacentral:rRNA from 1 species
UACGAAGGGGGCGAGCGUUGUUCGGAAUUACUGGGCGUAAAGGGCGCGCAGGCGGCUCAGUCAGUCAGAUGUGAAAGCCCCGGGCUUAACCUGGGAACUGCAUUUGAUACUACUGAGCUUGAGUACGGGAGAGGAUAGUGGAAUUCCCAGUGUAGAGGUGAAAUUCGUAGAUAUUGGGAAGAACACCGGUGGCGAAGGCGGCUAUCUGGACCGUAACUGACGCUGAGGCGCGAAAGCGUGGGGAGCAAACAGG